CUCUUUGUUUAGCUCUUCCUAGAUGAAUCUGGAAAUCUGUUUGUGCUCUUCAGAGGCGUUUCCGACCCCUAGAAACGUCCAAACAAAGAACUUUCCACAGAGCUUUGUCAAAGGUAUCCAUCACAAAUGAACAGAAGUCUCUGAUGUAUGCAUAUCUUACAAUGCAGUACCAUGGAUGGAGUUGGUUCUGUAAUCUGUUAAA